UACGAAGGGGGCUAGCGUUGCUCGGAAUCACUGGGCGUAAAGGGUGCGUAGGCGGGUCUUUAAGUCAGGGGUGAAAUCCUGGAGCUCAACUCCAGAACUGCCUUUGAUACUGAAGAUCUUGAGUUCGGGAGAGGUGAGUGGAACUGCGAGUGUAGAGGUGAAAUUCGUAAAUAUUCGCAAGAACACCAGUGGCGAAGGCGGCUCACUGGCCCGAUACUGACGCUGAUGCACGAAAGCGUGGGGAGCAAACAGG
rnacentral:rRNA from 1 species